rnacentral:rRNA from 1 species
UACGAAGGGGGCUAGCGUUGCUCGGAAUGACUGGGCGUAAAGGGCGCGUAGGCGGCUUGGCAAGUCAGGCGUGAAAUUCCUGGGCUCAACCUGGGGGCUGCGCUUGAGACUGCUGGGCUUGAGGAUGGAAGAGGCUCGUGGAAUCCCCAGUGUAGAGGUGAAAUUCGUAGAUAUUGGGAAGAACACCGGUGGCGAAGGCGGCGAGCUGGUCCAUUACUGACGCUGAGGCGCGACAGCGUGGGGAGCAAACAGG